CAGAUGUGAGGCUGGUCUGGCUGCUGUACCUGUGACCCAUCAAUAGCUCGUGCUGAUCUGGCCAGUCCGAGGGACUAGCCUGGUGUCCCUUUCCAGGACCUCACUGACUGGUGGGCAACCCUCCAGAAGCUGUAGACUCUGUCAAAGAGGAUGACCUUCCCAGAGAAGUAAGAGAAGUCCUUUGGUAAUGGAUAUGCAAACACCAUACCAAUGACAGGCAGAAACAUAGCUUUUGAGCUCCCCUGCUGCUGACAUUGUAUUAUGACCUUU
rnacentral:sRNA from 1 species